CUUGACUUGACGAUAGAUGCCUUAUCUGUUGGCUUAAAAGCAGACCUAUCUCAAGAUGAGAAACCAAUUACUAUAAUUUCCAGGAACCCAAGAUAUAAUGGACAAAACUUGGCGACAAACGAAGAUCUUCAGCCCCUAACAUUCGCCGUCUCUGAUCGCAACCCAAUUGCAAAAUUAGCAUUGGAGAGCUUUCAUUGACGACCGCAAUGCUCAAAUACUUUACAUGCCAGGAAAGGAAAUUCACGCAUCAUAAUAAAGCCUUUGCAGACUUGGGGACCACAGUCAUAAUUAAAGGAUCUGGACUACUGUUCUUUUUUUCACAAUGACAAUUAUCAAAUUGACUGACUUCUCGAACGCGGAUAACAUUCCGGGUAUGGACGAAGACACGACAAUGCGGAAAAACGUUCAAUAUUUAAAAUACUCGAAUAAAUUGACAAUGUGCAGAGAAGUAACAAGCGGGAUUCCGGACAUUGAAGACUUUGAAAGUCUAAAAAUUACACAACAUAAUCUCAUUAAAUAAAUUUAAAAAUAUAUUGGGAAACAUCAAUACAAAAUCGCAAGAACAGUUAAAUAAACUAACAGACGCAGUAAAAAUCUAAUAAAAAAUUUAAAAAAUAGGCAAAUAAAUAUAGAGGUCUUAAACGAAACAUUACUCACAAGAAAUGUUAUAGGAUAUUGAUAUCGGAAAUCGAAACUUUAAUCAUAUCAGUCACAAAGAUUGGAAUAAUAAACUUAAAAAUUAGUAAAAUUCUCAACCCAACUAAAUUUAAUCCACGAGCGUUCUACGAACAUAACGAUUACUGACUUAAUGGAAGUGGCCCAAAUCAACGUUCUGUUAAAUAACAUUUUUUACAUUUUUAACUGAAUAUCCUAAGCCAGGUUUAAUAUAAAAAAAAUUACCUGUAAAAUACAAUAGCACCAUCCUCAACCUUGCCGACAAAAACAUCAUAGCCGAUUGCGGUAAUGAAAUAUUACCAAUUGGAAAAUGCAGCGCUUCGCUCACAACAACUACACUUUGGUGGCACAGCUCAUUGUACCACCCGGCCCAGCCAUUUCGAGUAACUCACGGUCAUCGAUGAUGGCGUCAUCAUCAUCAAUGAGGAAACCGCUGUGAUCACGAUUAGUGAUAACGCAGAAAAACGGAGUAUAGAGAAUGUGCGGAACAUUGGCGAAAUUGAGAAGAGGUUGAUUAAAUGGCCCUUAAUAUCUGGACUGACCGUGACUAUUUUUUUGGUAUUUUGCUAUGCCUCAGUCAGAUUGUACAAGACGCAAAAAGCGACUCAAGGUCUACGAGACAUUUAGGCUAUCAUUGAUGGUUUCAGAGCGGGUCACUAAACAAGCACGCAUAAGUGGCGUGUUGUGAUGCACUGUAAGCGGCUUUUGCGGGCUUUGAACAACAACAAAAGUUGAAUACGCUGCCGGCCGAUAUAUGUAUGUACAACACCAUGUACGAGGCACAAUGUCAGCGAUUUUUGGGAGUAGGGGUAGCUAACAUUAUAUGAAAAUAUGUUCUUGACAGUUUGUUGUUUUGAACAAUAAGCCAGUCGGUACCUACGAGUUUUUAAAAUUCUUAAUUUAUAUAUUUUAUGGGUUCGGAGAUGCUUACUUCUGCCAGUUAUAUACAUUUGCAACAAAACAUUAUACCCUUUUUACCCAUUUUCAAUAAGUUUAGAGUAUAAAUACAGAAGACUCAUCAAUAAACACGAAUCACGCAUUCAUACUUUUCAAAACAGGGGAAAUAGAAGA